ACAAAAUUUUGCUAAGUCCGCCAAGAAAACCCUUUAAGAAUUACAACAGUCCACUAUAAUAUUUCAUUAAAUUUUUAUCUAGCAUACUCUAAUCUGCCAAAAAAAUUCACUAAGUAUGAUUCUCCACUGCUCCGACCACCAUACGUCGACCAUAAUACCAUUGCUUCGAAUACCAUAUGUCGUCCAUCAUACCGUUGCUAUGAAUAGCAUAUGCCGACCAUCAUAUUAUUGCUCCAACCACCAUACUCUUCCCAUUGUACCACUGCUCUGACUACUAUACCUUGAUUUCAAAGAUGCUCCGACCACCACUGUGAGUAAGAAUAUGUAUUUGAAUCCAAAGUUGGGUAGGGUUGGGGGUGGGUGUGGGUUGGGGCAAAGGAAAUUAGGUAAUUUGCAAAGGAGUGGGGAAGUGAAGAGGGUGAUGGAGAUUAUGCUAAGGGUGAUGAAAAGAAAGCAAGUUUUAGUAGGGGAAGGUGAGCUAAAAGGUGUAGUAAGUGACCUUUUUAACAAAAUUGAGAAAGGGGAAUUGGGGAUUGUGAAGGGUAUAUAAAUUUUGCAUAUGGCCCAAGAAUUCUUGCAUGAAAAGAAUGAAAUAGUUAACAACAUUAAGGAAUUAGGAGGGGUCAUUCAGAGUAAAUUGAGAAAUUGUGGUGGUAUGAUUGUUCACUAGGAUUUAAAAUGGCUAGUUGAGCAGCAACAACAACCCCCAAUUAUCUCCGAGAUUGGAAAAUCAUCACUGAUUGAAAUGGGUAAGUUAGUAGCGUGAUUUCGAGAAGAAAAUGGCAAUAAAAAUAGGUUGUAGUUGAUUGGUACAGCAACACGUGAGACAUUUGAGAUGUAAAGUUUAUCAUUCGACUAUGGAAAAUGAUUGGGAUAUUCAAGCUAUUCCUAUUACUUCAAGAUCUCCACAUCCAAGAAUAUUUCCUAGAAUCCCUGAGAUGCUUAGUUCUCAUGAAGAGUUCAACUGAAGAUAGUAAAUUCGAACCAAAUUCUACUGUUACGCUGGUGCUGGGAAGUGGUGAUCACCAUGACUAGUAAGUUUUCCAGAGAACCAAGGUGAUGCUCUUUUGCUUGAAGUACAAGAUAUGAAGAAAAGUACAUUGGGUCGAACUUCAAUACCAGUUUCAGUUGUGGCUGACAAUAGUGUAGUACCUUUCAUAUGUCAUGGACGUCCUAACUCCAACAAAAGAUUUUUUGGAGCUCAUUCAUGAGUUACUUGUGCCAGUUUGAAGGCAAGGAGUGAUAGAAGCAUGACAAGACAAGAGGUAUCAAAUUCUAAACACACAAACCUUCAAUCUUAAUAUUAUGCUAAAGAUUUAUAUAUGGGAAGUUGUUUCACAAAAUCAAAUUCCACAGAAAUGCUAAUCUAAUCUCUAAUAAUUGCCAGAUUUCUAACAAUUUCUGAAAUUCAUAGUAGCAUCCUUUUUAUCUCAAACAUCUUAUACUCCCUUCUGCCAUUCUAUUUUAACCUCCUUUCUAUUUUGCUUUGUCUAGAAAAGAGUGAACUCUUCCAUCUUAUGGGAAAUUGAACCAUUUUAAAAGAGGUCCAAAGUAACAUAAUACUUUCUACAUUUUCAAGCUUAGCAUGAUAUUUUAACGUCCACAUCCUUCUUCAAGCGUAUGUUUAAUCAAUUCAAGUAUAGUAACUUAGUUGAACUUUCUUCUUUCUUAUGGAUGGGUCACUAUGUAAAACAAAAUGUGUUAAAAGGAGAAUUUACUUUUUUAAACCUUAUAGACAACCAAAAUAAUUAUAUUUAAUGAGGAUAGAGGAUGCAACACUAGUCUCACUUUUAAUCACUCUAAUCAAACAUAGAGAGCAAGUUCAACUUUUCUUGUUCUGUUGCUCCAAUUGAAGCAUGUCAGCAUAAUUGUCUUUUUUUCAUAUCGCAUGUGACCAUUUAUGCACAGAAAAUCUCAUUAAAGAUUGAAACUUGGUUCCUCGAGAUUAGAAGCACUCAUGGAGCCUUAAAUAUGAUUUCUGCAGUAUCCCUCCCUAAGUUAUGAAUUAUCAUAAGAUAGAUGGUAUCUUAGUUAGUAUAUUCAAGCAACCUUACUCUUCUUAACUGUUUUCAUAAACACAAGAGGUCAAUGCAUUUUCAGAAACUGAAGAGAAAUGUAUAUAAAACUAUUAUGAUGAAAGUGGUCCAUCUAAUCUAUUACCUUUCACUAUUUUUAUACUGGUUUAUCUUUGAAAACUGGCCGUCAGGUACCUGAGCUAAAGCUAUUGCAAGCUUAUUGUUUUUUCUUAUUUCAAAAAAGUUUGCUCUUGGAUUGUGAAAUUGAGAUUGAAGGUAUCUUAGACUGUGUUCAAAAACUAUAAUUCACAGGAUGAAAGUUGUCCUACAGGUUUACCAGACAUGUCAGCUUCGAUACCAGAAACUGCAGCACCGGCACUUUCUCCCGCAGUACAAAUUAACUCACUUUUAAUAUUUGUAUACACUCACAAUUUUGUGCUACUUGAUUUAUAGAUAAGCUAUACCAACCUUUGUUGUUUAUCUGCCAAUAUCGUAGGUUUCUUACUCAAAUGUUUUUUUGCCAAUAUCACAGCUAAGAUAACCUGUGGAAAAUGCAAAAAUUCAGAACAAGCGUUGCUCUUGGAAGAGAUGAAGACAUUUGAAUUCAUUGAAGUAAAGCCUACUGGACAAACCUAUAUCUAUCUCUAUGCUUGUGCAGCCGCUGGUCGAGUUGACAGAGUGUAACAAAAUUGUUCAAUGGUUGCAACUAUAUCUAUUGCUAAUACACUAUUGGUCAUGCCUAUAUGAGAAGGCAUGUGCUAAUGUCUGUUUAGUUAGUUUUGCAAUUAGAUCCUUCAUGCAGUGGAUAGUAUGGAAUGUAGCAAAUUCUUUGUAAAUAUCCAGACAUAACACAAUGAUGUUAUUAUAUUUAAUUUAACUGAAGAACAUUUGUUUAUUAAAUGAAAUGAUAUUUGAUUA